UUAUUUUACAUCAGGAGGGACAACGGUCCUCCACCUGCUGUUACACCUGUUGACUGUCUUCUCUCACCGUCAGAUAUCACGUCAUCAUGCGACACGUGCUGAUGGUUGUAGCGGUGCUGGUGGUGCUGUGUCAGCUGACUGCUGCUGCAGCGACUCGCGAUGACCAGGGUAAGCCCCUGUCACAAGACUUGCUACAUUCCAUAAAGAAGCGGGCGAGUUGGGUAGACACCAGAGCUCGAAAUCGACUACCGCCCCGACGACGACCGCAAGGUCAGCUGGUGAUGUGACCGACGACAGGCACUGAUCCUGCAGAAAGGUUCUUAGUCCCAAGACAUUUGUCUCUAGUCAUCGACAGUCGCAGGCUUUGUAGCUGCUGAUGUUAUGUUGUUGUGUUGUUGUACAGUUGAUGUGACAGCGGUGUAAACCGUUUGCUGUCGUCAGCUUCUCACAGUACCAGAGAUAACAUGGACGAGCAAACAAUAUGUCGUUUGUACUCAACGUGAUGUUUGUUUACAGGCAUGCUGCUGUGACAAAUAAACAACCACAAUGAACAA
rnacentral:lncRNA from 1 species